GUGGGGAAUAUUGGACAAUGGGCGCAAGCCUGAUCCAGCCAUGCCGCGUGAGUGAUGAAGGCCUUAGGGUUGUAAAGCUCUUUCAGUGGGGACGAUAAUGACGGUACCCACAGAAGAAGCCCCGGCUAACUUCGUGCCAGCAGCCGCGGUAAUACGAAGGGGGCUAGCGUUGUUCGGAUUUACUGGGCGUAAAGCGCACGUAGGCGGAUCGUUAAGUCGGGGGUGAAAUCCUGGAGCUCAACUCCAGAACUGCCUUCGAUACUGGCGAUCUUGAGUCCGGAAGAGGUGAGUGGAACUCCUAGUGUAGAGGUGGAAGUCGUAGAUAUUAGGAAGAACACCAGUGGCGAAGGCGGCUCACUGGUCCGGUACUGACGCUGAGGUGCGAAAGCGUGGGGAGCAAACAGGAUUAGAUACCCGGGUAGUCC
rnacentral:rRNA from 1 species